rnacentral:rRNA from 1 species
UACGAAGGGGGCGAGCGUUGUUCGGAAUUACUGGGCGUAAAGCGUGCGCAGGCGGUGAGCUGUGUCCGAUGUGAAAGCCCCGGGCUUAACCUGGGAAUGGCAUUGGAAACUGGCUCGCUGGAGUGUGGCAGAGGGGGGUGGAAUUCCGCGUGUAGCAGUGAAAUGCGUAGAGAUGCGGAGGAACACCGAUGGCGAAGGCAGCCCCCUGGGCUAACACUGACGCUCAGGCACGAAAGCGUGGGGAGCAAACAGG